ensembl:lncRNA
GUUUUUCUGAAUUAUACUCCUCAGAAUUAACACACUGAGGCACACAGCAAUAAAGUGAAGAGCUGAUUUAAUGUCUUUGAAAGCGGCACUGAACCGCAGCAGUAACGCGCAAGCUCGUAGCCCUUGAGCUUUUCAAAUGGAACGGAGUGGAACUUCUAUCUUCCCAGAUUGCAAGGAGAUUUGUAAGAAGAUGCCUCAACUCCAAUUCUUACAUCUGUCAAGGGUUUAAAUGACUUUAACAAAUGUCACCUGAAUUUCAUGCAAUUGUUUGUUUAUUUUGUGAGUAUUUUAGUAGAAUUUUAGCAUACAAACAAAUUGCAUUUUAGGAUAAUUGUAGAGAAAAAAUAUAUAAACAACACAUCUGUUACUUUGUAUUGCAUCUUCGUGUGGAAAUGUACUAACACACUGAUUGUGUUAAAAGCAACACAAAAUGUGUUGUCCUUAACUAGACACGCAGGUGUGUUCAAAAUUAAUAUGGCGUUAUUUUAACACAUCUAUUUUAAGAGUUCAUAUCAGGUAUUUCAUGUAUUUUCUGCUCCUAGCAAGUUCAGGUAUUUCAUGUGUUCCAGCUCAAGCACACCUGGUGCAAUUGUUGAAGCCCUUGAUUAGUUGCAUCAGGUGUGCUUGAGACAACACCUGUUUUGCAUAUUAGUGCUGUUGUGAUGGAUUCUAUUCAGGCGGUUGAAUAAUUUUUAAACUGGAGAAAUCAUUAUAAGUUGCUUUUUCAGUUGAAUUUGGGGAAACCACUUGAAUCAUUCAUUGUGUUGAAAUAUUUCAAUUGCUUUUGUUUGAUUUGUUCAUUGCAAACAGCUGACAGUAUGUAAAUUUUGACAGUAAACCUGAUUUGCAAUGGAGGUUGAAUAAUUUUGAUUGCAACUGUAUCUAACUAGUUGUCAACUGGUCUUUCU